GGUCCUGACCGGUUCAACUAGUAGAGCAUGGCAGUAUCGUUGCCAGGGUCAGGGGUUCGAUUCCCACCGGGACCA